ensembl:lncRNA
AUGUGUCCACAUGUGACAAUAGCUGUAAUAGUUGUCUCAGUGAUUUUCUUAAGGGAAGUAGAGAAAGUAAGACAGAAUGACACAAACCCACAAAAGAGGGAACUAUCAAACUCAAAGGGAAGUCUCCCUCAUGACAAUCCAUUGAUACUUACUCUCAGACAUGGAAGAGAUGAGAGUUUUCUCUGUGAUCCUAUAUCUGUAAGUGUAGGACCAAUGAUGAAUCUGAAGAAUAUUAGAAACUUGUAUGGUACUGAAUUUUAUUUCUGUUCAGAAGUUUGUAGUUGGUCUGAUGUUAAAGCUUACUAUGGGACAGGAGCAUGGGGAGUUGAUGAAAGAUUCAAGAUAGACAUAGUAAAGAAAGAGCAAUCUGGAAUGAUUUGGAGAGAUGGGAGUAAGGGAUAUGCAUGGUUAUUAAAUAUUACCAUAGCUAAGGUACAGUACACAGACACUGGAGGAUAUUACUGCGCAUGGUCUAUACCAGGAGCAGAUGUGUAUCAGAGUGUUCAGAUUACUAUUGUGAUGACUGAAGAAGAACAAAUCAUUGAAAGGGAACUUUCUGAUUUAUCUCCAAACUUGAUUGAUUUACCACAAGAUGCAUCUGAGAAAGAUGUAGAACUUAUUAUGAGUUCUGAUCUAAGUGAUAAUGUUAAGGAAGUUAGAACAGCAAAAGCAAAGUGUGAAGGGAAUUAUGCAUGUGCACUGGCAUUGUUACAAAGAGGAACUCUGAAGGAAGAAGUAGAAGGAGAAUGUUGGAUAUAUAUGCAGUUACAUUCAGUAUGGAAAACACAUCCAGUCACUUCAGAUAUGGUAUGCCCUGAAAGGGACAGAUGUGAUAUACCACCACAGACGUCUAAAAUUCUACAGAUGACAAAUAAUCUAAGAGCAAAUAAGGCAUUGUUGUUUUCUCUUCAAGAUUAUGAUUGUUCAUAUGAUAGACUGCCUUUCAAAGGACCAGUUUUCCAUGUACAGUCACAUUUCGCAGAUUUGUGUAUUUGUUCAAACAAAGGGAAACAUUAUGUGGGAAUGUCAACAUGCAAGAAUGUCAUAACUCUGAUUCAAAACACUGUAGAUGAAAAUUAUAAUUGUACUAUUAAGUAUGAAAAUCAAACUGUUGAGAAUUUUCAUUGUCCAUUUUCCGAUUUGGAUAGCGCCCCAGGUAUAAGUUGGACCUGUGGAGGAAUGGCUUACUAUCAUUUAGAUGAGGGAGACUGGCGUGGAUGUUGCUACCCAGCUCUGCUCUCUACAGGAACUACAGUCCUAACAAGGAAAGACAUUGAUACUUGUGGGAGACAGGUAAAACCUACUAGACAGAAACGAGAUAUUCAAAGUAUACCUGAUCGUUAUAAUGGUUACAAGAUAGCUAAUCCUUGGACCACUCCAUGGGAAAAUGUAGGAUGGUCUAUAGCUAGUUUCUUUCCAGGAGUAGGAACUGCAGUUGCCUUAAAUAAGAUUAAUGGUUUAGCCUGGCAGGUUUUGUCAUUGGAGAAUAAUACUGCUCACGCUUUAGGAUUAAUUACAGAAGAAUUAAAGAAGAUGAGAGAAGCAGUCGUCCAAAACAGACUAGUGCUUGACCUCUUGACCUUGCAACAAGGAGGAGUGUGUAAAAUGUUAGGAGUGUCAUGUUGUUUUUAUAUUCCAGAUAACUCAGACAACAUAACAAAUAUUGUGGAUCAUAUGAAAGAAUCCACCCCUGACCCAAAGAUUGGAUUGGGAACUUGGAUUUUGCAUACUGUUGUACCAAUUGUUGUACUGUUGUUGAUUUUGGUUCUGAUAGCACCCUGUGUGAUGCAAUGUAUUAGUAGUUCUAUUAUGCAUUCUAUUUCAGCAAUCACUACCAGGGAUACUUAUCAAGCGAUGCUGCAAGUAACCAAUCCAGACCUGACAAUUGACACAGAUGCUCAGCAAAUUGAGAUGCAUGUGAUUAACACAGAUGAGGUUGAAUCUGAUGUUGAUACUUAUGUAGGAGAUGAUUAUGUACACACAUAUGAGUUAACUUCUGAAGAACAUGAUGAAUAA